rnacentral:rRNA from 1 species
AAAUUGAAGAGUUUGAUCAUGGCUCAGAUUGAACGCUGGCGGCAGGCCUAACACAUGCAAGUCGAACGGUAGCACAGAGAGCUUGCUCUCGGGUGACGAGUGGCGGACGGGUGAGUAAUGUCUGGGAAACUGCCUGAUGGAGGGGGAUAACUACUGGAAACGGUAGCUAAUACCGCAUAACGUCGCAAGACCAAAGAGGGGGACCUUCGGGCCUCUUGCCAUCAGAUGUGCCCAGAUGGGAUUAGCUAGUAGGUGGGGUAACGGCUCACCUAGGCGACGAUCCCUAGCUGGUCUGAGAGGAUGACCAGCCACACUGGAACUGAGACACGGUCCAGACUCCUACGGGAGGCAGCAGUGGGGAAUAUUGCACAAUGGGCGCAAGCCUGAUGCAGCCAUGCCGCGUGUAUGAAGAAGGCCUUCGGGUUGUAAAGUACUUUCAGCGGGGAGGAAGGUGUUGCGGUUAAUAACCGCAGCAAUUGACGUUACCCGCAGAAGAAGCACCGGCUAACUCCGUGCCAGCAGCCGCGGUAAUACGGAGGGUGCAAGCGUUAAUCGGAAUUACUGGGCGUAAAGCGCACGCAGGCGGUCUGUCAAGUCGGAUGUGAAAUCCCCGGGCUCAACCUGGGAACUGCAUUCGAAACUGGCAGGCUAGAGUCUUGUAGAGGGGGGUAGAAUUCCAGGUGUAGCGGUGAAAUGCGUAGAGAUCUGGAGGAAUACCGGUGGCGAAGGCGGCCCCCUGGACAAAGACUGACGCUCAGGUGCGAAAGCGUGGGGAGCAAACAGGAUUAGAUACCCUGGUAGUCCACGCCGUAAACGAUGUCGACUUGGAGGUUGUGCCCUUGAGGCGUGGCUUCCGGAGCUAACGCGUUAAGUCGACCGCCUGGGGAGUACGGCCGCAAGGUUAAAACUCAAAUGAAUUGACGGGGGCCCGCACAAGCGGUGGAGCAUGUGGUUUAAUUCGAUGCAACGCGAAGAACCUUACCUACUCUUGACAUCCAGAGAACUUAGCAGAGAUGCUUUGGUGCCUUCGGGAACUCUGAGACAGGUGCUGCAUGGCUGUCGUCAGCUCGUGUUGUGAAAUGUUGGGUUAAGUCCCGCAACGAGCGCAACCCUUAUCCUUUGUUGCCAGCGGUCCGGCCGGGAACUCAAAGGAGACUGCCAGUGAUAAACUGGAGGAAGGUGGGGAUGACGUCAAGUCAUCAUGGCCCUUACGAGUAGGGCUACACACGUGCUACAAUGGCGCAUACAAAGAGAAGCGAACUCGCGAGAGCAAGCGGACCUCAUAAAGUGCGUCGUAGUCCGGAUUGGAGUCUGCAACUCGACUCCAUGAAGUCGGAAUCGCUAGUAAUCGUAGAUCAGAAUGCUACGGUGAAUACGUUCCCGGGCCUUGUACACACCGCCCGUCACACCAUGGGAGUGGGUUGCAAAAGAAGUAGGUAGCUUAACCUUCGGGAGGGCGCUUACCACUUUGUGAUUCAUGACUGGGGUGAAGUCGUAACAAGGUAACCGUAGGGGAACCUGCGGUUGGAUCACCUCCUUACCUUAAAGAA